rnacentral:rRNA from 1 species
AUUGAACGCUGGCGGCAUGCCUUACACAUGCAAGUCGAACGGCAGCACGGGUGCUUGCACCUGGUGGCGAGUGGCGAACGGGUGAGUAAAGUAUCGGAACGUGCCCUUAAGUGGGGGAUAACUACCCGAAAGGGUGGCUAAUACCGCAUAUUCUGUGAGCAGGAAAGCGGGGGAUCGCAAGACCUCGCGCUGAAGGAGCGGCCGAUAUCAGAUUAGCUAGUCGGUGGGGUAAAGGCCUACCAAGGCCACGAUCUGUAGCGGGUCUGAGAGGAGGAUCCGCGACACUGGGACUGAGACACGGCCCAGACUCCUACGGGGGGCAGCAGUGGGGAAUUUUGGACAAUGGGGGCAACCCUGAUCCAGCCAUGCCGCGUGAGUGAAGGAGGCCUUCGGGUUGUAAAGCUCUUUCGGCCGGGAAGAAAUCGCAUGGGUUAACACCCUGUGUGGAUGACGGUACCGGAAUAAGAAGCACCGGCUAACUACGUGCCAGCCGCCGCCGUAA